UCGAGAUGGAUCUCCUGAGUCAUUUUCGUUGUCAAGAACUUGGCACUUAUGCCGCAGUGAUCGGGAUUUUUACUUACACUGUUUUGCUUCAUAGGGACAUGCCAUGCACUUGCAAAGACCAAACGAAACAAUGCAACGAAUACAUGGCUCUGCCAUUUGUUUUAGUGUUUUUUAUUAUACUCUUCAUCGACAAGACAUUUCGGAGAACAACAAAACACGGUGCUACUUUUUUAUGCAUUGUAAUCAAGCGCACUAUCAAAGCUUCUUUAAUUGGUCUGCUGUGGGUUGUAGCUGUGUUCAUUGAUGGAGACUGGUAUGUUUGCUGUAAGAUUGAUGAAGAAAAGAAAAUGUUACCCUGCAAAAGUAAAAACCUCACAUUUGAAGAAUUUGCUGAAAUCACUGAUCUAAAAAACACGUCACAGAUUAUUGGUUACUCUUUGCUCCUGGCUGUAAUUGUUGCAGCUUUUUUAACGUCAUGCGGAUGUGGAUGGAGAAAAUGCUGUGAAAAGUAUUUAAUCUGUUGCAGCAGGAAAACUUUAUAUUACAGACUAAUUUUGGAAGAAGAGAAAAAAGCUCUGGAUGUGCUUUUGAGGAAAGCAGCAAAAGAGAGUUUAACUAAAGAAAUAAUGACCAAAAUAAGAAGGAACGACUGGGACGGCUGUUUUAAUGUUGCUCAGGAAAUGAUCAAUAAAGCAAAACAACAAAAGACGGCAGCAACAAACGAGGACAUCAGCUGGAUGAGCGAGGAGAGCACAAAAACAGGGGAACACGCUCAACAAGGGACGAGAUCAGCACAUCACGAGGAACAAAAUAUUGAACUUCAGUCAGUUGCAGAAGACAGCAAACCACUAUUUGAUGAGUCGGACUGAAAAAAAAUUAAGUGAUGCAACAAGAGAAACAAAGGAAGGAUGUAGACGCACAUCUGUUAUUGCCAUAAUCACGGAAAUGAUAUAUUUUUUGUAAAUUGAGUUUAUCAGACAGUAUAAAGUAUCUUGUCUUUGCUGUUGCUGUGUGUAAUGACAAAUUUAAAGAAAUGUUCCUGUGCUGCUUUAAAUUCUCCAUUACCUCUUAAGAUUUCAGCUUUGAUAUUAAUAAUAAAAUAAUCAC